rnacentral:rRNA from 1 species
AGGGUUUGAUCAUGGCUCAGAUUGAACGCUGGCGGAAUGCUUUACACAUGCAAGUCGAACGAUGAAGCCUAGCUUGCUAGGUGAAUUAGUGGCGGACGGGUGAGUAAUAUAUCGGAACGUGUCCAUUAAUGGGGGAUAACUAAUCGAAAGGUUAGCUAAUACCGCAUACGCCCUGAGGGGGAAAGCUGGGGAUCUUCGGACCUAGCGUUAAUGGAGCGGCCGAUACCUGAUUAGCUAGUUGGUGGGGUAAAAGCCUACCAAGGCAACGAUCAGUAGCUGGUCUGAGAGGACGACCAGCCACACUGGGACUGAGACACGGCCCAGACUCCUACGGGAGGCAGCAGUGGGGAAUUUUGGACAAUGGGGGCAACCCUGAUCCAGCCAUUCCGCGUGAGUGAAGAAGGCCUUCGGGUUGUAAAGCUCUUUCGCAAGGGAAGAAACGAUAUAGGUUAAUAGCUUAUGUUAAUGACGGUACCUUGACAAGAAGCACCGGCUAACUACGUGCCAGCAGCCGCGGUAAUACGUAGGGUGCAAGCGUUAAUCGGAAUUACUGGGCGUAAAGCGUGCGCAGGCUGUUUUGUAAGUCAGAUGUGAAAUCCCCGAGCUCAACUUGGGAACUGCGUUUGAAACUACAAGACUAGAAUAGGUCAGAGGGGGGUAGAAUUCCAUGUGUAGCAGUGAA